AACGAACGCUGGCGGCAUGCCUAACACAUGCAAGUCGAACGAGACCUUCGGGUCUAGUGGCGCACGGGUGCGUAACGCGUGGGAACCUGCCCUUAGGUUCGGAAUAACUCCCCGAAAGGGGUGCUAAUACCGGAUAAUGUCUUCGGACCAAAGAUUUAUCGCCUUUGGAUGGGCCCGCGUUGGAUUAGCUAGUUGGUAGGGUAAAAGCCUACCAAGGCGACGAUCCAUAGCUGGUCUGAGAGGAUGAUCAGCCACACUGGGACUGAGACACGGCCCAGACUCCUACGGGAGGCAGCAGUGGGGAAUAUUGGACGAUGGGCGAAAGCCUGAUCCAGCCAUGCCGCGUGAGUGAUGAAGGCCUUAGGGUUGUAAAGCUCUUUUACACGGGAUGAUAAUGACAGUACCGGGAGAAUAAGCUCCGGCUAACUCCGUG
rnacentral:rRNA from 1 species